CUGGCCCUCUGCACAGGGAGGCCUGGGGUUCAGAGGGAAGAGACUUGUCCAAGGUCAUGUGGCAGAUGAGAAAAACGAGGCUCAGAAGGCAACUGAUUUAAUUUCACCCAGAUCACAGCAAAAAAGUGGUGUCUGGGAGCCUGCCUGGGUUUCUGCCAACAUCAGCAGUAAAUGGCCAGGGUUAGGAUGAAGACUGCCAGGGAGAGGUGCUGGGGAGAUCCGCCGCUGGCUGCCCCGAACAAGAGGGCAGGCCUGGGGGCAGGAGCUCAGCUCUGGGAUUUGGAGUGUCUGACCUGGCAUGGUGGUCACCAUGCAGCCUCACUGUCCCAAGAGUCGGUCAGUUCACCCUGAAGAGGAUGUCGGGGUGCGGGCACACUGUCGGAGCUCACUCAGGGGACAGUAACCACCCGGACCUGACCGCAAGGAUGAGGCCUGGGGUUGGGGGUGGGGACGCGCACUGGGAGGGGCCAACAGGGGCCGCUAUGGGAACAGUUGAGGUCACCAGGCCAGGGCCUGCUCCGGAGGUGGAGGACGGCCAGGCGGGGGGGGGGGGCAGCUGGGGUCACCCGAGGGCUGCACCCGACCUCCCCAGUGCCAGUGUCAUCCUGGGGGCCAUUGCUCCAUCACAGAGCCGCCCCCCCGCCCCCGCAGGGCAUCCGGCCGGACACCACCAUGACGACUGGCUUAGGGGCUUCCCCAAGCCUGCUCUGGCAUUAGCGCUGACUGCGGGGGACCGGGGCGGGGGGCGGCUGGCCUCUUCUUCCCCACAAAUUCCAGCCGCUUCAAAGUGGAAGACAGGGAACAUGAGGCCAGAAAGGGCCAGCAAACUUUCCAUCGCUGUCAGGCUGCUGGGCCAGGCUCUCGAUUCCGAGGGGUUUAGGAGGAGAGAGACGUUGGGCCAUUGAGGAAAAACGGAAGGAACACGCCUCUUGCUCCACCACCCAAAUUAGAGCCCGGCCAGCCCUCCACUCCCAGAGCCACGUGUCGUGUCCUUGUGGUCUCCCUGUCGGCCUCUGUGCCUCCCUGACCCUCAGUUUCCCGAUCUAGAAGUGAGCUUCAGAGCUCGUGUUCUUGCAUGGUCCGAGUAAGGACAGCAAUCUGGAACGGCCCUGUGGGGAAGUCCAGGAAGGACUUAGCCAUAACACAUCCCCUGAGGACGCGCGGAGGGGGGCCGUGGAGGGUCGUGAGGCUGACGGGGGAGGGGGCUAGAGGGGUACCGGACGGGAUGACCUCAUCCGGUGCCCGGGCCUGAAACACCGCGGCUGGGGAGGGGGCAGGGAGCCUGGGCCACCCCCACCCCAACUUUUCGCUUCCGACCCGCUGAGGGGCCCGCAUUCCGACCCAGCGCCCCCCUCCCUGUGGUUCGCUUCUCUCCCCGCGCAGGGAGGAGAGCGGACGGCCCUCUGCGAGCCCCUCUUCCAAAACUCUGUUGGCCGCUGCCCC
ensembl:lncRNA